rnacentral:rRNA from 1 species
UACGGAGGGGGCGAGCGUUAUUCGGAAUUAUUGGGCGUAAAGGGCGCGUAGGCGGCGCGAUAAGUCAAAGGUGAAAUCCCUCGGCUCAACUGAGGAACUGCCUUUGAGACUGUCGAGCUUGAGGCCGGGAGGGGGUAGCGGAAUUCCCAGUGUAGCGGUGAAAUGCGUAGAUAUCUGGAGGAACACCGGUGGCGAAGGCGGCAUCCUGGACCGGUAUUGACGCUGAUGCGCGAAAGCCAGGGGAGCAAAGCGGGAUUAAGAAACCCGGAG